AACGAACGCUGGCGGCAUGCCUAACACAUGCAAGUCGAACGAGACCUUCGGGUCUAGUGGCGCACGGGUGCGUAACGCGUGGGAACCUGCCCUUAGGUUCGGAAUAACUCCCCGAAAGGGGUGCUAAUACCGGAUAAUGUCUUCGGACCAAAGAUUUAUCGCCUUUGGAUGGGCCCGCGUUGGUUUAGCUAGUUGGUAGGGUAAAAGCCUACCAAGGCGACGAUCCAUAGCUGGUCUGAGAGGAUGAUCAGCCACACUGGGACUGAGACACGGCCCAGACUCCUACGGGAGGCAGCAGUGGGGAAUAUUGGACAAUGGGCGAAAGCCUGAUCCAGCAAUGCCGCGUAAGUGAUGAAGGCCUUAGGGUUGUAAAGCUCUUUUACCCGGGAUGAUAAUGACAGUACCGGGAGAAUAAGCUCCGGCUAACUCCGUG
rnacentral:rRNA from 1 species